UCUGCGGUCAUUCGCGGGCUGAUCUCCCGCUGGAUCGAGGCGGAGUCGGACCUGACGGUCGUCGCGUCGAUCCGCACCGGGCGCGAUGCGGUCAACCAGGUCGUCCGGGUCGAUCCUGACGUUAUCGUGCUCGAUAUCGAAAUGCCGGAUCUGGAUGGCAUUUCAGCGCUGCCGCUGCUGCUUGAGAAGAAGCGCAAUCUCGUCAUCAUCAUGGCGUCGACGCUGACCCGCCGGAAUGCGGAGAUCAGCUUCAGGGCGCUGUCGCUCGGUGCGUCGGACUAUAUCCCCAAGCCUGAGAGCACGNCCAGAGAGCACCCGCGAGAUGUCCGCCGCGGACGUCUUCAAGCGCGACCUCAUCGAAAAGA
rnacentral:misc_RNA from 1 species